ACCUGUUCUAGCUGGAUCCAGGGGGCCCAGUCUCUGGGUCUAAAAUAAGACUCUUAACUUCUCUGCCAAUGAGGUUCGCCGGGCCUGAUGACGUAACAGGCGCCGGCCGUUCUAUUUGCAGGCUAGGUCCGUGUACACCAGGAUUUCAUCCAGUCAUCACCCUGACCCAUCUCUGAUGAGACAGAAAGCACUUCAAAAGAUGGAGAGCGUGGUCCCUAAGAGACCUAGGGGCCAGAGUGUGAAUUUCCUAAUUAAGGACCAGCACAAGAGUAACUUUCUCUUCCUUUCCGCUGUGUUUCAAGCUGAACAAACUAUUCAGAAGUCACUCUGUAGAAAAACAAGUUCCUCUUCUCUGGCCCUACCCCCGUGAGCGGCAGUCCCUUGGAGGUACGGAUGGAAGCCUGCCACUGAUGGCCCAGAACAAGACCCAGGCCAAUCAGCAGGGCGGAUCUGAGCCCGCGUCUGCAGAGGGGCUGCCUUGCCACAGGCUGGGCUGCCUGCUACACGCCAUCCCCAGAGCUGGGCCUGGGCUUGGGGGUGGGGCUCAGCCAGGAGCCCCGCCUUCCUCAAAGUGUCACAGAGUCCCCUGCCGUCGGGGUGCAACAAACAUUUCCCUCUUUUGUGAGAUUUAACUUCGGCUGAAUGAGAAGAACCUUUGUUCCCACCUUAUCUGGUCCCAGCAAUGCCAGCUGCUGUCUCCGACUUUCACAGAGCAAAUCCGUGGGACCCUCCAACCCCAGAUUCUCCAUGAUCAUACUGCGAGCUCAGCCUGCACCACCAGUGCUUCCCUGGCCAUCUUCACAAAGCUGAAUCCAUCAUCUUCCUCUCCAAUGUGACCCUUCCAUUUGUGACAGCACCUGCACUCGGGACUAGGGCUCAUGCUUUACUGCGCCCUCUCCUCACCGCCUACAUCCAUAAGCAAGCUUUUUUUUUUAACAUCCUUAUUGGAGUAUAAUUGCUUUACCAUGGUGUGUUAGUUUCUGCUUUAUAACAGAGUGAAUCAGCUAUACGUAUACAUAUAUCCCCAUAUCCCCUCCCUCUUGCGUCUCCCUCCCACCCUCCCUAUCCCACCCCUCUAGAUGGACACAAAGCACCCAGCUGAUCUCCCUGUGCUAUGCGGCUGCUUCCCACUAGCUAGCUGUUUUACAUUUGGUAGUGUAUAUAUGUCCAUGCCGCUCUCCCACUUUGUCCCAGCUUCCCCUUCCCCCACCUCGUGUCCUCAAGUCCAUUCUCUACGUCUGUCUGCGUCUUUUUUCCUGUCCUGCCCCUAGCUUCUUCAUGACCUUUUUUUUUUUUUUAGAUUCCAUAUAUAUGUGCUAGCAUACGGCAUUUGUUUUUCUCCUUCUGACUUACUUCACUCUGUCCAUCCACCUCACUACAGAUAACUCAAUUUCGUUUCUUUUUAUGGCCAUCAGCAAGCUUUUUGAACUUUAUUUCACACACACUUCUCAAAUCCAGCUCCCAGAAUCUGGAGAUGAGGCCACGACCCUAGUUCAAGCCCAAACCCCUCCUGCUCGUAACUCCCAUGCCCCCAACACACACCCACAGGAAGGACCUAAUCCAUAACUCCAGUGCCCCUCUGCUCUGCCUGCUCGCCAAGCCCCGCAUCGUGACAUGCAGAAGCUGUGCUCCUCUCUGCUGUCACUGCAGUCACUCCCUGAUGCACAAACUGCACUCAGCACUGCCCCCCCAGGGUUCUUCCUGCCCCUCCUUCUUGCUCAGGCUCUCCUGAGACCGGCCCCUCCCCCACUUCACCCAGCUAGUAAAGAUGACUUUGCCCAGGCUUCAUCUUUCUUUGACUUCACCUCCUGAGUAGGUUACCUGCUGCUACUGUGGGCCCCCAUCAUGUUCACACACAUUUCUCUGUGUGUGUGUGUGUGUGUGUGUGUGUGUGUGUGUGUGUGUCACAUUUCUGCUUGUGGUCUCAGCACCCAGUUCACACAGUGGACCCCUGCUACAGGCAGUAGGUUCUCAGCAAUUGGGAUCCCUCACUUGUGCUUUCAGAUGGCUGGUUAAAGCCAUCUUUUACUGCAGGGCAAUCAAUACCUUGGUCCUAAUUAGAUCCAUUUUCGUGUUAUCUAUUUAAAGAAGACAGACGCCAAGACACCAAGGAUUGUGUCUACGUAACAUGUUUUGUCUGGCCACUUAUCUACUUUGGGUACUUAAUAACGUGAUGGACUUGAAGGUAAUGACGAUGACAGUGACGUCAGCCGUGGCAGGAAACUGGAGAUGAUUAGACAUCCUUUUAUUCUCGGAGGCUGGGUCGUUGCUUAAAACAGUACACGAUGAGUCACAGGAUGACAGCUCACUUGUCUUGAAACCUUAACUAACCAGAAUACAGGCUGGAACCUCAGUCAGACACACUCCAGAGAAGCCAAGUAUCAGAAAGUGCACAGAGUAGAACUUAAAGAGAUAACUUUCUAGGGGGCGUCUGGUCUGCAUUCACAGCCUAUUUGUUCUCGCUUUAACUCCACCCUCCAAUAAUCUGUUCCAUCUUAUGCCCCAGGCACGGCAAGUUAGAUGUAAAAUAUGAGGUGAGGUGGGGUGGAGAGGGGCUCCCAGGGGCCGAUGCAGUGGUAGCGGUACAAGGGGUAACACGUGCAAAAGAGGAGACAAACUUUAAAAGAACAAAGAGUACACAGCAGUCUGGGAACACUGCACGUUUAGGGACAAUAAGUCCCACACGU